rnacentral:rRNA from 1 species
UAAUACGUAGGUGGCAAGCGUUGUCCGGAUUCACUGGGCGUAAAGCGCGCGCAGGCGGGCUGACCAGUCCGGCGUGAAAUCUCACGGCUCAACUGUGAGGGGUCGCCGGAAACUGUCAGCCUUGAGGUACCUAGAGGAGAGUGGAAUUCCCGGUGUAGUGGUGGAAUGCGUAGAUAUCGGGAGGAACACCAGUGGCGAAAGCGGCUCUCUGGGGGUGGCCUGACGCUGAGGCGCGAAAGCGUGGGGAGCGAACCGGAUUAGAUACCCGGGUAGUCCACGCCGUAAACGAUGAGUACUAGCUGUCGGGGGUAUCGACCCCCCCGGUAGCGAAGCUAACGCGAUAAGUACUCCGCCUGGGGACUACGACCGCAAGGUUA